UCAGGCCUAACACAUGCAAGUCGAACGGCAGCACGGACUUCGGUCUGGUGGCGAGUGGCGAACGGGUGAGUAAUAUAUCGGAACGUGCCCAGUCGUGGGGGAUAACGUAGUGAAAAUUACGCUAAUACCGCAUACGAUCUAAGGAUGAAAGCGGGGGAUCGCAAGACCUCGCGCGAUUGGAGCGGCCGAUAUCAGAUUAGGUAGUUGGUGAGGUAAAGGCUCACCAAGCCAACGAUCUGUAGCUGGUCUGAGAGGACGACCAGCCACACUGGAACUGAGACACGGUCCAGACUCCUACGGGAGGCAGCAGUGGGGAAUUUUGGACAAUGGACGCAAGUCUGAUCCAGACAGUCCGCGUGCAGGACGAAGGCCUUCGGG
rnacentral:rRNA from 1 species